CUCCAUCAGCAAACUCCAGUGCUACGUGUCCCUGGCAUUUUAGGUGUCGGUUGGGCAGAAUUCCAGAAGAUCGCCAUGGCAACAGCAAUAGGAUUUGCUAUAAUGGGAUUCAUUGGCUUCUUUGUGAAAUUGAUCCAUAUUCCUAUUAAUAACAUCAUUGUGUAAGUAAACUUUAUGAAAUAGAUUAGGAUUGAAUGAAACUCGAAACCAUUUGAGAUGACAGCCUGUUAUUUCGUUAAUACAGAGAUGCGUCUGUUGACUUUUUAGUGCUGUUGGAGUCUACUGAUAUUUACGAGUACCUGAUAAUUGAGGGCUUUUAGAUCUUACAUGAUCUUUCCAGAAAUUCUGUGUGCUAGGCACUAUUUUCUUUAAUAAAUAAAAUUUUACAGAGUCAAGAAAGUAUUAAAGACACUCAUAUGUCACAAAGCCAGCAUUGA
rnacentral:sRNA from 1 species